rnacentral:lncRNA from 1 species
UGGGUAAGGGGAAAACUCCGUUGCCCUGAUUUUUAAUAGACCGGAUGAUAGCGCAAGCAAUAGGCCUUUUUGAUCUCACAAUAGUAGUGUAAAGCAUCCACAAGGGAAAAAAACUUUAGUAAGGAAGGGGAAAAGUUUGUUGCUCUAUUUUUGAACUGACCGGAUAAACGUGCAAGCAAUAGACCUUCUUGGUCUCACAACAGUUGUGUAAAGGUUAAACCAAGGGAAAAGUCCAUUGUUUAUUAUUUGAAAAGACUAGAUGAAAGUGAAUCUAGAUCGACAAGAAAAAACCACAUCACAUUGGGAUCAAGAUCGAAGACAAAACCGCAUCACAAUGCGAUAUAGAUCUUAGAUGAUAAUAGAUUGUUACUAGUACUACCACCAAUUCUUGUUCUUCUUCUUCUACCACCAAUUCUUCUUCUUCUUGUUUUUCUUCGACCACUAAUUCUUCUUCUUCUUCUACCACUAAUUCUUCUUCUUCUUCUUCUACUACUACUACUUCCACUACUACUACUACCACUAC